rnacentral:rRNA from 1 species
UACGAGGGGGGCGAGCGUUGUUCGGAAUUAUUGGGCGUAAAGGGUGCGUAGGCGGUUUGGUAAGUCUUAUGUGAAAUCUACAGGCUCAACUUGUAGUCUGCAUGAGAAACUGCCGGGCUUGAGUAUGGGAGAGGUGAGUGGAAUUCCUGGUGUAGCGGUGAAAUGCGUAGAUAUCAGGAGGAACACCUGUGGCGAAAGCGGCUCACUGGACCAUAACUGACGCUGAUGCACGAAAGCCAGGGGAGCAAACGGG